GACGAACGCUGGCGGCGUGCUUAACACAUGCAAGUCGAACGGAAAGGCCCUGCUUUUGUGGGGUGCUCGAGUGGCGAACGGGUGAGUAACACGUGAGUAACCUGCCCUUGACUUUGGGAUAACUUCAGGAAACUGGGGCUAAUACCGGAUAGGAGCUCCUGCUGCAUGGUGGGGGUUGGAAAGUUUCGGCGGUUGGGGAUGGACUCGCGGCUUAUCAGCUUGUUGGUGGGGUAGUGGCUUACCAAGGCUUGGACGGGUAGCCGGCCUGAGAGGGGGACCGGCCACAUCGGGCCUGAGAUACGGCCCAGACUCGUACGGGAGGCAGCAGUGGAGAAUAUUGCACAGUGGGCGGAAGCCAGAUGCAGCAACGCCGCGUGCGGGAUGACGGCCUUCGGGUUGUAAACCGCUGUCGCCUGUGACGAAGCGUGAGUGACGGUAAUGGGUAAAGAAGCACCGGCUAACUACGUG
rnacentral:rRNA from 1 species